AUAUCGUUAAAUGGUGCCUCACUAACAUUUGUAACUGUAAACCAAUAUUUAAUAUACAUUUUUACAAUAAAUGCACUAAUUCGCACUAUAGCAUUUUCUUCGGUUUUCGUUAUUUUUAAUUCAGUUCGUAGUAAAAAUAUUUUCAGACAGUAAAUACAUUUUGCCAUCCACCUUGCCUGAUGACAUGCGCCCGGUUGACGAAUUGUCGUGCCACCAGGUGGAGUUUCUCCAAGUAUAAUAAUGACUAGUUCAAUUAAUUCUUUGUAAUCAUCUCUAGGAUGGUCUUCAGUAAUUUUUUUUAAACAAAAUGAAACAAUUUCUUAACGUAUUGGGGAAAUUAUUUUUUCAAAAUUUUUAUUUGUAUUCCAAACUAAUAUUUUUGUUUUAUCAAUUUCUUUCCAUGCACUUUGAAAGCGUUUAAAGAUAGGUAUAAUUGGUCCAGGUGAUACGUAUAAUUUCGCCUCGUUAAAUGCAGCCAAAACAUGAUGCCUACAAGCAAAAUAAAUAAUGUCUCUGUUCAAUUUCUACUCCAAAAGUGUAGAUGCCCCAUUUAGUCUGCCGGUAUUUGAUGCAGUCGUAUCAAAUACAAAACCUUGUACUUUAUCAAGUAAAGACCAUUUUUCUAAAGA